rnacentral:lncRNA from 1 species
AGCACGAAUGGUCCCAGAGUUCAGAAACAGCACUGCUGCUGGCUGCUGGUCACACACAAGCCUUGUGUGAAAGAUGACGUGAUGGCAGCUCUGAAGGGUGCAACCAGCGAUGCUGUGUUGAAGUUUGAACCAUUUAUCCUCCAUGUGCAGUGCCGGACACUGCAGGACGCACAAACCCUGGUUCUAUAACUGCCUACAACAUGCUGUCAAAAGAGAAACAAUUUCAAACUCACGCUCCGAGAUCAAAGAAAAAAAUAACCCACUCUGUACUCCUAAGAAUCAGAGGAAGCAAGGAAAAGCAUGUGACCCAUCUACGACUGAAGAUGAUGGCGGGGAGCAGCUCGAAGGCAGCGAUGGCUGGGGAAUCGGUGCUGUCCUCUUCCUGGGCGAUGACUAAGACUUGGCGGGAAUCGACUCUGGUUCACAUGCUGCUCUUCACAAGAGCGUCAGGAUUCACUGAGGGCACCCGACCCCUCAGGAGGCUGGAGUUAAUCUCUCUAUUGUAGAGAAACUUAAGUGUAAAUGGCUUUUCAAAGUAGCUUUGUAUAUGUUUGCUCUCUGAAGUCUGCUUUUUAAGCAUAUUAGGAUUCACUCUACAAAUAAACCUAAAACUUCCUGUGUCUGUUUAUGUCAAAUAGGAAAAACAAGAUAA